GGCGGCACUAGCGCGGUGGUCCCACCUGACCCCAUGCCGAACUCAGAAGUGAAACGCCGUAGCGCCGAUGGUAGUGUGGGGUCUCCCCAUGCGAGAGUAGGGAACUGCCAGGC
rnacentral:rRNA from 18 species